rnacentral:rRNA from 1 species
AUUGAACGCUGGCGGCAUGCUUUACACAUGCAAGUCGAACGGUAACAGGCCGCAAGGUGCUGACGAGUGGCGAACGGGUGAGUAAUGCAUCGGAACGUGCCCAGUCGUGGGGGAUAACGCAGCGAAAGCUGCGCUAAUACCGCAUACGAUCUAUGGAUGAAAGCGGGGGACCGUAAGGCCUCGAGCGAUUGGAGCGGCCGAUGUCAGAUUAGGUAGUUGGUGGGGUAAAGGCUCACCAAGCCGACGAUCUGUAGCUGGUCUGAGAGGACGACCAGCCACACUGGGACUGAGACACGGCCCAGACUCCUACGGGAGGCAGCAGUGGGGAAUUUUGGACAAUGGGCGCAAGCCUGAUCCAGCAAUGCCGCGUGCAGGAAGAAGGCCUUCGGGUUGUAAACUGCUUUUGUACGGAACGAAACGGCUCUGGUUAAUACCUGGGGCUAAUGACGGUACCGUAAGAAUAAGCACCGGCUAACUACGUGCCAGCCGCCGCUGUAACAC